CAUCUUGAAUAGGGGUUGGAUAAAAUAAGGCUGAGACCUACUGGGCUGCAUUCCUAGACAGUUAAGCAUUCUAAGUCAUAGGAUGAGAUAAGAGGGUGGCACAAGAUACAGGUCAUAAAGACCUUGCUGAUAAAACAGGUUGCAGUAAAGAAGCCAGUCAAAACAAAG